ensembl:lncRNA
GUCUAUGAGAAAAAUGUGACGUUUAUUUCCAAAACCUCGCGGUCGCUGUUGAGCUCCACAAUGAACUAGUUCUUCAGUUUUGAAGCGCUGACGACUUCAGUCAUCUUGGAGAAAUGAUGAUGUAAUUUCAGUGGAUCGUUUAGGUUAAUUUAAACGGCUUGUGCCUUAAGGUUAUCAGAGCAUUUAAAUCAAGUAUUAUCCAUUACUGUAAAAACUUGUAUUUGUUUAUUUCAAAUAUUAACCAGUUUUACAAGCCGUCACUUUGAUUAAUCAUGUGUUUGUGAUUAAUCAAACGUGUCUUUUGUCCAUAUGUGUCUAUAACUAUCCAAGUGGACUAUUCUGUUUAUAGAUUAAUCUGCUGCUUUACGUUGUGGUAUUAUGUACAACUUUUUAACUUUAUUUUAACUUAAUGGUGCUAGCUUGUUCAAACACGUACGCUUCAGGAGAGCCUCCCACCUUAUGAUGUCACACAGUGCAGUGAGUCAUUAUAGGGCUGGAUUUGGAUGAGCUUUAUCACUUUUACACAUUUCUUUUUCACUUUAACGCAGCACUGUUCACUAUUCUUCACAGGUCGGUGUUAAAAUAUGCAACUGUAUAAACACAUACAUAGGGCUGGGUACAGUGUGAUAUUUUUCGAUACCAGAACCUUAACGAUUCUUGCUUUUCGAUGCUGGUUCUUGGAUGUCUUUUUCCAGCACCUGUAUUUUUUGGAUUUUGGCCAAUAUUAUAAAAAAAAAAAAAAACACUUUUCAAUCCUUCAGUUACGUUAUAACUAUGUUCAUUCAUGUUUUAAAGCCUAUAUGACAUUCAGUUAUAUCUCCAAACAAAUGCGCAUCAAGUGAACCAGAGCGCACAGCUGAUCCUCACGUGGACUCACUUACAUUUCACUUUUUUGUUUCUGCCUGUACUGCAUUUUAAGUCUUUGUUUUGAUAAAUUACUCUACUCUUUUACUGCACGGUUACCUGGGUAGAGGAGGCGGAUGAUGGCGAGCUUUACGCGCACUCGUUUGGAUGCAUCUUUACGCACACUCGCUCCACACUGGACGUUUACUACACCAUAUUUAUUUAAGAAUCACGCUGUUACUGGAACAGAGGAAGCGGGGAUGUUGGUGGAGUUUUGAUUCAUGUUGUCUUUUUGGCUCCAUAACUACCCGGACUCGUUUGACUGCAUCUUUACGCGCACUCGUUUGGAUGCAUCUUUACGCAUGUGCGCCCCACACGUGACGCAUGUGCGUAAAGAUGCAUCAUUUAUUUGUGAAUCACGCUGUUACUGGAACUGAAGAAGGGGAGAUUUUGGUGGAGUUUUGGUUCAUAUUAUGUUUUUGGCUCCAUAUUUACCCGGACUCUCUUGGAUGCAUCUUUACGCGCACUCGUUUGGAUGCAUCUUUACGCACGCACACUCGCUCCACACUGGACGUUUACUACGCCACAUUUAUUUUUGAAUUACGCUUUUACAGGAAACAGAGGAAGAGAGGAUUUUGGUGGAGUUUUGGUUCAUAUUCAUCUUUUGGACUCCAUAACUACCCGGACUCGUUUGACUGCAUCUUUACGCACACGCGCUCCACACUGGACGUUUACUACACCACAUUUAUUGGUGAAUUACGCUGUUACUGAGGCCGGGGAGGAGGCGCUUUGGUUCAUAUUAUCUGUUAAAACGUGAGUGCUGUUUGGGCAGAGACCAGUCGUGCACCUUGACGCGGGCAUUUCAAACCAAGGAAGCGAAAGUUGGCACCGAACGAACGUGAGUUUUUUGGUGCUGGUACUUGGACCCGAGUUUGCGUGCCCAGCCCUACAGUCAUUGGUUUAUUGGUGGUUUAUUGAUGGUUUAUUGAUGGUUUAUUGGUGGUUUAUUGUUAGAGAGUGGACAAAUGGUACACAGACUUAGUAUUUUGAGGUGCUACAUUUCAUUGCUUUGCCUUGGCCGACACUAAACACUGCAGAAGUGCCUUAAAGUGACUUGCAAUAAUUUCUUUGUAGCAGUUAUUUGCAUUACACUAAACUGUUGACCAAAGUUUUCUAUUUUCUGUACAUUUUGUUAUUUCACAUCUGAGCAUUACAUGUGUUGUUUGUAUACAUUUUAGAUGAGAAUAUAAUGGGAUUUUUCAAAAAAGGACGAUGCAGUGACAUUUGGCGAAGGCUUUACUUUGUUAUAGUCUAUUCAUACUUUUUACUUUAUACUGUCCCUUC